rnacentral:rRNA from 1 species
GACGAACGCUGGCGGCGUGCUUAACACAUGCAAGUCGAGCGGUGCGGCGAACGGGAGCGGAACGCGAGAGUAACUGCCCCCCUCUCUGGGAUAACAGUUAGAAACGGCUGCUAAUACCGGAUAGUGGGGGAUGACUCGCGUCCUCUCGGCUUUUUGGUGGGGUAGUGGCCUACCAGGGGGCCGACGGGUAGCCGGCCUGAGAGGGUGACCGGCCACAUUGGGCUGAGAUACUGCCCGAACGCGUACUGGGGGCAGCAGUGGAGAAUAUUGCACAAUGGGGGAACGCCUGAGCCAGCAGCGCCGCGUGCGUGAGGUCGGCCUUCGGGUUGUAAACCGCUUUCAGCUAUGACGCGGUAGUGGCAGAAGAAGCACCGGCUAACUACGUGCCAGCAGCCGCGGUAAUUC